UCGUCAGCUGAUGGCAGUCGAGUUUCGAGUUUCAACUCGAGUGACGUUUUAACUCGAGUGACAGAAUGAAGUGAAAGAUUCCCGCCUCUUAUUAAUUACUGUUUGUAACUUGUGGAACAAUCGAUUGAUUGAGGCAUUGUUUGCUUGUAGGUUAAACAUUAAACAACAUACGAUUGUCAUACAAGAAUACGAAAUGGAGCCGCAGGAUAUUUAUUAUAACAAAGCCGAAUACGUUGAAACGGCUUCAGGAAAUAAAGUGAGCAGGCUGACAGUACUGUGCGGUUCACAGAAUAUUGUAUUGCAUGGAAAAGUGAUAGUGCAAUCCGAUGCUAUCAUUAGGGGUGAUCUGGCCAAUGUCAGGACUGGUCGCUAUUGCAUAAUCAGCAAGAAUGCGGUCAUUCGACCGCCUUUUAAGAAAUUUAGUAGAGGGGUUGCCUUUUUUCCCUUAACAAUGGGAAACCAUGUGUUUGUGGGAGAGCGGGCCAUUGUAAAUGCAGCACUGGUUGGUUCUUACGUUUAUAUAGGGAAAAAUGCCAUAAUCGGCAGACGAUCAGUCUUAAAAGAUUGUUGCUACAUCGAAGACGGUGCGGUUGUGCCACCUGAGACUAUCGUGCCAUCUUUCACUCGUUAUGCUGGUAGCCCAGCAACAUGUAUCGAAGAGUUACCCGAGUGUACGUUGGAUCUCAUGAUAGACUUUACGAAGAACUAUUACGAACAUUUCUUACCGGCACGAGUUUAAGAGAUAUAUUUGUCCAGGAAUAUACGUGUGGUAGCCUACAAUUUUAAAAGAGUUUUUGCGGUACAAAAAUUCAAAUAUGUACUCUCAUAAAUAAUUUCUGUUAGCAGAAUCUAAGACAGUGAAUAAUUGUCGUUGGAGUAUAUCAUGACUAUUUUUGUGAUCAUCUUCGUACAUUUCUUCGACUUAAUGAUGUCGUCCAUAAUGCAGAUUCUUGAUGAGAUGUCAUUACCAUACAUAAUCUUAUAAAAAUACCUAUUACAAGAAACAUUCUCUCUUCUUCACCCAAAUUGAAGGUAUAGAUUUUAAUGAUAUUAGUAUCAAGAAAAUUGAAUCUUGGAGAGCAAAUCGUGAAAAAGUAUAGGAAAGGUCGCUAUUACUUUUCUGUGUGUAACAGUACUUCGGUUAAUACAGAGAAUACUAUUAUCUCAUUCCCGAAUAAUAAUGGUUUAAUGGUAAGAAAAUUCUUUGGUUCCCAAAAAAUGAUUUGAUUGAUUCGAAUGAUUUAUUUGAUUGCCCCUAAUAUGAAAAGCCAUCUAGCAAUAGCACUUCUGCUAUUAAAUCCCGAUAAUCCGUUCCAUCUUUGUACUCAACAAAACAUUUACAGUAAUUACCAAAUUCUUACAAAUAUCCGAAAUAAUAUAUUUGGCAAUUCGGAUAUAUAUAAUAAUGUGUAGUAAUAUAAAUAUUCUGUUAGUUUUUUUACCUAGAUUCAAUUUAGUGAGUUCAAAUUAAUCUUGCUUAGAAUAUAGAUGCGAUUAACAGCAAAAUCAAGUAGAAAUAUAUUAAUCGUCGCGCUAUAGAAAAUGUGUAAUGUAACAGCAGGAGAAAUAGUAGAUGCAAUUGACAUGUUUAACAGGAUCGGCUCCGCAAGAUGAUAUCAAUAUUCUAAUAUGCUCGAAUGUUUCUUAAAGAUAAGAUUCCGGUAAUUGAUUCGAAACAAAUUCGUUAACUAUAAUAGACAAUACGUAUUUAUUAUAUUAUUAAUACAAAAAACUCAAACGUACUUGAAUGUACGUUCCAUCAAAUUUAGAGAAUUUUGGAGUAGUAGUCACUACAAUGCUUGCAAUUCAUAUUCUUUGUCCUUCAGUUUUACUCAUUUGACUUCAGUA